rnacentral:snRNA from 1 species
UUUUUAACCUGGCAGGGGAGAUACCAUGAUCAUGAAGGUGGUUUUCCCAGGGCGAGGCUUAUCCAUUGUACUUUACUUAUAUUUCAAAAGCCAAUGUUUUAGAGUAAAUAGGUCAAUCCAAUCCAUCAGCUGAACAAUCUCUCCUCC